rnacentral:rRNA from 1 species
AAUAUUGGACAAUGGGCGCAAGCCUGAUCCAGCCAUGCCGCGUGAGUGAUGACGGCCUUAGGGUUGUAAAGCUCUUUCACCGGUGCAGCUAAUGACGGUAACCGGCGACGAAGCCCUGGCCAACUUCGUGCCAGCAGCCGCGGUAAUACGAAGGGGGCUAGCGUUGUUCGGAAUUACUGGGCGUAAAGCGCACGUAGGCGGAUUAUUAAGUCAGGGGUGAAAUCCCGCAGCUCAACUGCGGAACUGCCUUUGAUACUGGUAAUCUAGAGACCGAGAGAGGUAAGUGGAACUCCUAGUGUAGAGGUGGAAUUCGUAGAUAUUAGGAAGAACACCAGUGGCGAAGGCGGCUUACUGGCUCGGAACUGGCGCUGAGGUGCGAAAGCGUGGGGAGCAAAC